AACCUUGCUAAGAGAUAUGACAAGGAUGGAGUUGAAAACAUUUGCCAGGCCCUUCAUAGCUGGCGUGAUAUAUAGUGUUAUAAUCUAUUAAUAACACACUGCACAGGUGUGAGAAAUAUGUGUUUAAAUGCAUGUAUCAUUUAGGGAGAUUUUGCUAUGGAAGCCCAAGUGUGAAAUACAAAGUACAGCCAGCAAGUUAAAAUCAGAGAGGAGAGAACAGCACUUUGAUCAAAUCAGAACCUGAAGGGAAAUCUUCUGCAAACUAUGGCGCCAGGUAUCUGCUGCCAGAUGCGUCGCCUCCUGCCCCAAGAGGAAACACAACAGAUAGCUGUAAGCAAGAACAAGCAAGAUGGCCAGCCUGAAUGUAAAAGAAUGAGCUGAGCAAAAGCAUUGAGUGAAAACGCAUACAAUGACGAAGAGAUGUCUUUCAGCUUAGGAAAAGGCUGGUUUCUUAUAAUGUGCAAAUUGGACUAUCCAGUUUUAUCUUGAGUUGGGGUGGACUGGAAAGACUCAAGUUUAAACUCCUGCCCAGCCAGAAAGCUUACCUUGCAUGAGCCUCAAGGUCUGAUUCACUUCCCAUGAUUUUUUUUGGGGGGUGGGGGCACUAAAAUUAGAGGGAAAUCAUGGAUGCCAGCCUGAGAGCCUUACUGGAAGUGUGAAAU
rnacentral:lncRNA from 1 species